CGUGCCAGUUCCACUGCUAAAAAUCAAGCCUAGACCACCACUGGAUAAACUACCAUCCAGACCAAAAUGUGAGCCGUCUGCAUGGCAUAAGCUUAAAACAAAAGGCAAGGAGCCAGGAAAAGUUGAAGAAAAGCCAUUUUCCCAGAAGGCUGUAGAAGAAGUGCUGAAUAUUAAGGCUAUACUGACAAAAGCUAUAGAAGAAGUGUCUGACAACUUAUACACAGCUGUGACGAAUAGGGAAGCCAGAACUAAAGAGCAAUGUGAUUCUCUUUUGAAUGAUCUCCAUUUC